UUAAACGGCCGCGGUAUUCUAACCGUGCAAAGGUAGCGUAAUCACUUGUCUUCUAAAUAAAGACCAGUAUGAACGGCUGAAUGAGGACAAACCUGUCUCUUACAACUAAUCAGUGAAACUGAUCUCCCAGUACAAAAGCUGGGAUACACACAUAAGACGAGAAGACCCUGUGGAGCUUUAAACUAACCGUCAAUUAGCACACUAAGCCUUCACUGACACAUGUUUUAAGUUGGGGCGACUUCGGAACAAAACUAAACUUCCGAGCACCGAGCCAUAAACUCAAACAGCGGCUAACAAGCCAAAGUUCCACCAAAUUAGACCCAGUACCACUGACCAACGAACCAAGUUACCCCAGGGAUAACAGCGCCAUCUUCUUCAAGAGUCCCUAUCGACAAGAAGGUUUACGACCUCGAUGUUGGAUCAGGACACCCCAAUGGUGCAGCCGCUAUUAAUGGUUCGUUUGUUCAACGAUUAACAGUCCUACGUGAUCUGAGUUCAGACCGG
rnacentral:rRNA from 1 species